rnacentral:rRNA from 1 species
AUUGAACGCUGGCGGCAGGCCUAACACAUGCAAGUCGAGCGGAAACGAUGGAAGCUUGCUUCCAGGCGUCGAGCGGCGGACGGGUGAGUAAUGCAUGGGAAUCUGCCCAAUAGUGGGGGAUAACCUGGGGAAACCCAGGCUAAUACCGCAUACGUCCUACGGGAGAAAGCAGGGGAUCUUCGGACCUUGCGCUAUCGGAUGAGCCCAUGUCGGAUUAGCUUGUUGGUGAGGUAAUGGCUCACCAAGGCGACGAUCCGUAGCUGGUCUGAGAGGAUGAUCAGCCACAUCGGGACUGAGACACGGCCCGAACUCCUACGGGAGGCAGCAGUGGGGAAUAUUGGACAAUGGGCGAAAGCCUGAUCCAGCCAUGCCGCGUGUGUGAAGAAGGCCCUCGGGUUGUAAAGCACUUUCAGUGGGGAAGAAAGCCUUGGGAUUAAUACUCCCGAGGAAGGACAUCACCCACAGAAGAAGCACCGGCUAACUCCGUGCCAGCAGCCGCGGUAAUACGGAGGGUGCGAGCGUUAAUCGGAAUUACUGGGCGUAAAGCGCGCGUAGGCGGUCUGAUAAGCCGGUUGUGAAAGCCCCGGGCUCAACCUGGGAACGGCAUCCGGAACUGUCAGGCUAGAGUGCAGGAGAGGAAGGUAGAAUUCCCGGUGUAGCGGUGAAAUGCGUAGAGAUCGGGAGGAAUACCAGUGGCGAAGGCGGCCUUCUGGACUGACACUGACGCUGAGGUGCGAAAGCGUGGGUAGCAAACA